GUCAUGGCUUUUAAAGGCCUCCAUUCCUAUUUCCUACCUCUCUGAGUUAUUUCAUUGAAGCGCACUCAACGUUCUCCAUUGAAGCGUUCUCCGUUGAAUCUAAUUCUUGUAUCCCCCAUUGAAGCAGCUUCUAAGGUAAUUUUCGAUUGUCGGAGACUCUGGCAAUGGCUCAACCGCAGAGUGCUCAAGCUGCACAAGUUCCAGGGAAGUCUAAUGCCCGUGUUGUGAACCUAGGGACUAAUAGUAGUAAUGCUGGUGUCUCUUCGUCUGUGGGUGUUGCUGCUACUGGUUCUGCGAAUACCAAGAAGAGUCAUAAUAAAAAUUCUAGUAAGCCUCAAAGUUCUUCUGGGACUGGUGGUGGUACUCCGUUUAAGACAAUGGAGCUUGCUCCGGCUGCUCGUAGGAAGAAAAGGAAGGUUCCGGAGAAUAAAUUACCUGAGAAAGUGGCAGCCCUUUUGCCAGAAAGUGCUAUUUACACCCAAUUAUUGGAAAUGGAAGCCAAGGUUGAUGCUGCCCUUGCUAGAAAGAAAACAGAUAUUCAGGAAACUGUAAAAAGGCCUCCCUGUGUUCAGAAAACACUUCGUAUAUAUGUGUUCAACACUUAUGCCAAUCAGCCACUUGAAAAUGGUGAAAAUAAGAGUUCCGAAACUCCUACUUGGACGCUUAAGAUAAUUGGGAAUAUAUUGGAAAAUGGGGGUGAUUCCAGCUCCGGGACUAUGGAUAAUAGGUCCACUCCUUUCCCAAAAUUUUCUUCUUUCUUCAAAAAAAUAACCAUAUGCUUAGAUCAGACCCUUUAUCCUGACAACCAUGUAAUAGUAUGGGAGAAUUCUCGUUCUCGUUUGCUUCAUGAAGGAUUUGAGGUUAAAAGGAAGGGAGAUAAGGAAUUUACCGCAAUUAUAAGGCUUGAAAUGAUUUAUGAUCCAGAGAAGUUUAAACUAUCAGCUGCUCUUACUCAAGCUCUUGGACUUGAGGCAGAAACUCGCCCAAGAAUCAUGGCUGCAUUGUGGCACUAUGUGAAGAUUAAGAAGUUGCAAGACUCGAAUGAUCCAGCAUUCUUUAUUUGCGACCCACCUCUACGAGAAGUGUUUGGUGAAGAGAUGGUUAAGUUUGCUGUGGCUUCACAGAUUCUCACUCAACAUUUAACUCCUCUACAACCCAUACAUUUGGAGCAUAAGAUUAAGCUUUCUGGAAACAAUCCCAGCGGAAGUAUGUGUUAUGAUGUGCUUGUUGAUGUUCCUUUUCCUUUAGAGAAGGAUAUGUCUGCAGUCCUGGAAAAGAUGGAGAAAUGCAAAGAAAUAGAUGAUUAUGACAAAUCCAUUGCUGCUGCUAUAAAGAAGAUCAAUGAGCAUCGGCAAAGACAAGCUUUUUUCCUUGGCUUUAGUCAUUCACCUGCAGAGUUUGUUAACACAUUAAUUGCUUCUCAGGAUAAAGAUUUGAAGGUUGUUGCUGGUGACGCAGUUCAGAAUGCUGAGAAAGAGCAUCGAAGUGACUUUUUCAACCAACCUUGGGUUGAAGAUGCUGUUAUGCGUUACGUGAAUCGCAAAACUGCCAGUGGAGGUGAUGCUGCAGGAGCUACAUGAUUUGUGAUAUCUAAUUAGAAGAAGGAAAAAUGAAGUUCGGUUCAAAAACUUCAGGAAGGUUUAUACAGGGUAAAUGAAUAAGGUUAGGUUUCUAGUAUUUGCCACGACUGGGAUCUAGUAGAUCUAGGAGCGAAAUCAACACAAGAUCAGGUUGAAUCUGCUUGAUCAUCUUUUAGAUAUCGGAGCGAAAGCAUAACAAAAACAGGUUGAAUUUCUCCAGUCUUCUAGUAGAUGUGGGAGCAAAAGCAACACAAGAACAGGUUGAAUCUUCUCCGAUCUUAGAAUGUUAAAUAUACAAAAUAGAAUAGGAAAAUACAUUAAUUGAGUAGAUAAGAUUUGUUUUCUUGCUUUAGCUUUUACAUAAUAUUCUACAAAGAAUGUAGAAUAUUGAAUAUGUAUGUAUAUUUGUUAAAAAUAAUAGUCCGACAAACAAGCAAAAUCAUGUAUAAAUGGUUUAACCGUAUAGAAUUUGCAGUUUCAGAUUAUAUUGAUAAGUAAUAGUUACUCCGUACUAAACUAGAUUAAGGCUCUGUUUGUUUCAAGGGAAAAGCCUUUCCCUGAAAAUAGUUUUCCUAUUUUCUAUUGUUUGUUUUGGACCGGCCUAUAAAAUGAAAAAUAAGUCUAGAAAAUACUUUUCCAUUGAGGCCCAAAUAUUUUCCCUAAAAAAUCAAGGUAUUCCUGUCUUCCAUCGUUUCUCCUGCUCGCUGCUCUCUCUCUCUCAUCCUCAAGCUCGCUGCUUCAAGAUCUGCUCUCACAAGGUAAUUUCCUACUUAUUCUGUUUCCUUUCUUUGAUUGUUUGCUUCUUUAUUGGAUUCAACUGGUUUAUUUGAUUCAACUGCUCUCGAAAUUCUAGGUUAGGUUUGUGAUUAAUUAGGGUUUGUUAAUAUUCUUCUGUAUUAAAGAACAAGUGAAGUAAUAAUGAAGAAUUCUGGAAUUUGGUUGAAUUUUUGCUAUUGAUUUGGGAAUUAGGGUUUGCACGUAAAAUCAAUUGCUGGACUUCUGUACUUUGGCUGCUUCCAGUGUAAUGUGAUGAAGCUUCUGUGUAUGAAUGUGACUGAUAUCGAUAAUAUGCUUAUUUAUGAUGUUGGCUGUAAAUUUCCAUUAGCGGCAAAAAUUCAGCUCUAGUUAUACAAGAAUUGGAGCUGUGAUCAUCUAUGUUAGUUGAUAACUGUCGAUAUAUAUAGUAUGUAGUAGAAUAAUAAGGCUAGCUGAUGUUCAGAAGUGUCUGCUAUAGUAUAAUCUUAGGCUAUCCUAGUUGAUAACUUUCUAUAGUAAUAUUUGUAGUAGAAUAAACCUGCUUAGCAUUCUUACUGUUGUUGCUGGAUUAUUGAUGUUUAAUCAAUAUCUUGAAUUCAUGUUAUAAAAGUAUGUAGUAUUAUUAGUAUAUAGUUUCUGUUAUUAACUGGUUUUUUGCUGAAGUAUAAUGUUGCAUUGCAUUGCUUUGCUGUACCUAAUAUAAUGAAUGGUAUACCACUUUGCUUUCUUCUAGUGUAGUUUGAGCAAAAUUGCUUUGCUGUUUGUAGUCUAGUGUUUUCAGCACCUCCUCUGCCCACACUAUCCCUGUCUCUGAUAGGGAUACAUGUUCUAAAAUAACUAACCUUUGUCUUAUGGGGAAACUUUUUGGUGAAAAUCUCUAUAAGCAUGUUAUUGAGGGUAAGCUUAGAGUUGUUUUGUUAAUUGUUGUUGUAAGUGUGUUGUUGCCGUUGAGUUAGAUUGAUCACUUUGAUAAUACCAUCAAUCAUCAUAAUUUUCUUUUUUCUGAUUAGUAUUAGUUAUGGAACCGGAGCGUGGAUUGUCUACCCAAAAAUCAUCUAAGGUAUAACUUUGCCCAAAAACCACUAUCGAAUUAAUAUACAUAUAAGUAUGCUUAACCUUUUGUUUUUUUGAUGGAAUUGAUGUAGAUGACUAAUGAUACUAAAGGCAUUGUUAUUGGUGUUGUGGCUGCUGUUAUUGCUUGUUCUCUUGCUUUUCUUAACGAGCGUAGGUCUAAAACAAGAAGGCUAAAAAUAAUUAGGCAACCUUAUAUUAAUAGAGAUAGUCUGAGGUCGGAGAUUGUUAAUAGUGUUUUGUAUUGUGGUGAUACUCAUUGUUUGGGUCAGAUUCGUAUAAGGCCUCAAGCAUUUUUCAAUUUGUGUAAUAUUCUAGUUGAAAGAGGACUUUUGAAAGAAAAUAUUCGAAUAGGUGUUAAAGAACAAGUAAUGAUAUUUUUAUACAUUUUAGGGCAUAAUGUAAGAUUUAGGGCAGCAGGGGGAAGAUUUUUCCGAUCAAUUUGGACCAUACAUCAUUACUUUCAUGUUGUUCUUAAAGCCAUCCUUAAAUUGUACCCAGAUUUUGUCAAAUCACAAGCCUCUCCUCUUCCAUCUGAAAUUCAAAACAACCCUAGGUUUUUUCCUUGGUUUGAGGAUUUCAUAGGAGCUAUAGAUGGGACACAUAUACGUGCAUCUGUCCCAAUUGAAAUGCAAGGUCGAUUUCGUGGUAGAAAGGGUGGGACAACCCAAAAUAUGCUAGGUGCUGUUGAUUUUGAUAUGAAAUUUACAUAUGUGCAAGCAGCACAUAUGUAAAUUUCAUAGGUGCUGGUAGAAAGGUCUUGCAAGAUGCGCUCAAAAAGGGAUUUAAGGUUCGUAAAGGUACUUUAAGAUUAUUUUUUUGUCCGGUUUCUUUUAUGUAUUGGUUAUAAGUUAGUAACUAUGACAAAUUUCUUUAAAUUGUAGGAUAGUAUUACCUUGCUGAUGUGGGGUAUGGUGACCGUAAAGGAUUCAUGCCUCCAUAUAGGCGUACUCGCUACCACUUGAAAGAGACAAUCCACCAAUUAUUUAAUCUUCGGCACUCCUCACUAAGAAUGGUUGUAGAAAGGGCAUUUGGAGUAUUAAAGAAGCGAUUUCGUGUCUUGGAUGCUAAGCCAUUUUGGGCGUAUGAAACCCAAGUAGAUGUAGUUCUAGCAUGUUGUGUGUUACAUAACUACCUUAGAGGUGUUGACCCAAAUGACCCAAUUACAAGAAAAGUUGAAGUAGAGAUGACAUCACAAGAUUUACAACACAUGGGCGAAGCACGUACUCGAGGGAAACAAUGAGAAGAAAACCAACAAAUUGAAAGGAAGAGAAUGGCCAUUGCAACGGCGAUGUGGACUGUAUACAAGAAGGCUCGAAUUUGAUGGGCUUGGCAUAUGCAUCUUUAGAUAAUUAGUUCAUUAAUUAUGUAUUUUAUAUUCUAUAACAGUUUAUCUUUUUAAAGAUAACAUUUUCAGUGAUUAUGUAUUUUCAGUGAUCAGUAGUGAUGCUGUAAUAUUAUGUUUUUUUUUCUUUCAGAUUCUAAUGCUACAGUGAUUGUUCCAGGUUAUAAAAGAAGAGAAAAAGGUCAACUUUCGUUGGUCAAAGGACAUGUCAAAGGAAUUUCUCGAUUUUUUAGCUGAAGAACUUAAAAAGGGAAACCGGCCUAAUAAUACUUUUCGAACAAGUUCUUUUGUGGCUGCUGCGAAGAUUAUCUCUGAGAAGUUUCAAACCAAUUGCACCUCAGAACAUGUGGAGAAUCAUAUGAAAACUGUGAGGAAUGCAUGGGUGGCUAUAUCAACAGUCCGAAACAACUCCGGGUUUGGAUGGUACGAUAACUUGAAGAUGGUGACAGCAUCUCCCACAGCAUAUGCUACUUAUGUUAAGGAAUAUCCAAAAUAUGAAAAGUUUUUGAAUCGAAAAAUUGAUAUGUAUGAGGAGAUGGCUACAGUAGUGGGUAAAGAUUUAGCACGGGGGAACUUCUCCAAGACAUUUGCCGACAUCGAUGUUGAUGCUUCAAUGGAAAGUGGACAACCAAGUAUGACUAUUGAUAGCGUGCCUUCCAAGGCUGAGAGUAAGGCUGAGAGUGGUACCUCGUCGGGCUCAAGGCCACAUCGAAAGAGGUCUCGAAUUGACGAAGGAUCGGAAAUGGAACACAUUUCAGCACAACUUCAAGAAGUGGUUAGUGCUCUCAAAAUUUUUUCAAACAAUCAACUUGAUGUGGAGAAGCUUUAUGACGAAAUUAUAAAGAUGGAGGACAUUGAAGAAGGGGUGCAUGUUGCGGCUUUUGAUCACUUGGUGGAGCGCGAAAUGCUUGCAAAAGCAUUUUUGACAAAAAGCUUGCCACUACGCAAACUUUGGAUCGAAAAGUUUGUCAAAGACCAUAAACAUUAAAGUCUGCUUGCUGGUAGUUUGCUCUUGCUGUCUUCUGCUUUGCCUUUUGUUUCCUGCUUCCUGUUGCUGUUUUGCUAUAACUGCUAUGCUGCAGCUUAAGGCUGCUGGAAGCUGCUUCUCCUGCUUCCUGGUUUGCUGUUGGCUGCUAUAUACAGCCGUUUUUCUUUUCUUAUUUUUUUGCUGUUUGUUUGGCUUGGGUAUUUGUAUUCUUGGGUAUUAGCAGAAAUUUUUUAUUAUUAGUUUGAAGUGGUUAACAUUUGUAGAUCAAAUAUGAAGAACUAUAGAAUUUUAGCUCGUAAAUCAUUUACAAGGAUGUUUUUGAUGUUUUCUUAUUACUAGUUUGGGUUUU